UACGGGGGGAGCAAGCGUUGUUCGGAUUUACUGGGCGUAAAGCGCACGUAGGCGGAUUUGUAAGUCAGGGGUGAAAUCCCGGGGCUCAACCCCGGAACUGCCUUUGAUACUGCAAAUCUCGAGUUCGGAAGAGGUGAGUGGAAUUCCUAGUGUAGAGGUGAAAUUCGUAGAUAUUAGGAAGAACACCAGUGGCGAAGGCGGCUCACUGGCUCAUAUCUGACGCUCAGGCGCGACAGCGUGGGGAGCAAACAGG
rnacentral:rRNA from 1 species